GCCUGAGCCUGAGUCCAGCCGAGCCAAGCCUAGUGGAGAAGACCUGGGCCAAGCUGAUACUAUGAAGGACAGUUGAGCCCAGCAGUUGAAAUCAGGUGACACAACACAGACUGUUCCAGCUUUUGGGAGACCAAGAUGUUUAUUAUCAGCUUGGGGUCUCAGCCCUCUUGGCGCCAGAGAUGACCAGAUAACCCCCUGCCGGCCAGACCUGGGUUAUCUCAUCCAUAUGCACCAGCUGAGGUGUUGCCACAAGCAUAUUCAACUAAGCUUAACAAUUUAAUUCUGAUGAUGUCAUCAAGUACUUGCAUAUCAGGUGCUGUGAGCCCCAACACCAGCAAGGCUAUCCCCGUGCUCUCAGUGUGUGGAAAUACUGGUGCAUGACCAAAGGACUAAGAGAUUACAUGGACAUCACUAAGAUCCCAGCAGUGAAGGGAUCAGGACAUCAUACUGACAUUCCUGAAGCCCUGCCUCUGAGUUUAUCACUGGAAUAAGGUACAAAGGAGCAUGGGGGAGCAUUUCCAUUACUAUAAAUUGAUUUUUUUUUUUUUUUUUUUUUGGUGAUUGCUCUAGUAAUGCUUAGCUGAAAGGAAGAUCAGUACCAAAGGCUGAAUGAACAGUUAUUUGUGCCUAUUAAUGACUUCCUGGGCUUAGGAACCUGUCUUAUGUCAAGACACUGCUGUGUCAGCUGAUGAGGAAACCCAUCAAAAAAAGAUGGUCUAUCCAAACUGACAGGUUAAGCAGGCUUGUUUGCUGACAGAGUAAACUGACCAGUUCAAGGUAUUAAAUUGAAAGGGAUGAAUCUGACAACGCUGAUCUGUGUGUGAGCAGGAGACUGGGACAUAUGCACAGGCCCAGCUCAGAGGGAGACGUCAGCCUUUACAAACCUCAAAGUCUAGGGAAGUAGGCUAUGCUUAGAAUGGAGUAGCUU
rnacentral:lncRNA from 1 species